rnacentral:rRNA from 1 species
AUUGAACGCUGGCGGCAGGCCUAACACAUGCAAGUCGAACGGUAGCACAGAGAGCUUGCUCUCGGGUGACGAGUGGCGGACGGGUGAGUAAUGUCUGGGAAACUGCCCGAUGGAGGGGGAUAACUACUGGAAACGGUAGCUAAUACCGCAUAACGUCGCAAGACCAAAGUGGGGGACCUUCGGGCCUCACACCAUCGGAUGGGCCCAGAUGGGAUUAGCUAGUAGGUGGGGUAAUGGCUCACCUAGGCGACGAUCCCUAGCUGGUCUGAGAGGAUGACCAGCCACACUGGAACUGAGACACGGUCCAGACUCCUACGGGAGGCAGCAGUGGGGAAUAUUGCACAAUGGGCGCAAGCCUGAUGCAGCCAUGCCGCGUGUAUGAAGAAGGCCUUCGGGUUGUAAAGUACUUUCAGCGGGGAGGAAGGCGGUGAAGUUAAUAACUUCACCGAUUGACGUUACCCGCAGAGGAAGCACCGGCUAACUCCGUGCCAGCAGCCGCCGUAA